UACGUAGGGACCAAGCGUUGUUCGGAUUUACUGGGCGUAAAGGGCGCGUAGGCGGCGUGGUAAGUCACUUGUGAAAUCUCUGAGCUUAACUCAGAACGGCCAAGUGAUACUGUUGUGCUAGAGUGCAGAAGGGGCAAUCGGAAUUCUUGGUGUAGCGGUGAAAUGCGUAGAUAUCAAGAGGAACACCUGAGGUGAAGACGGGUUGCUGGGCUGACACUGACGCUGAGGCACGAAAGCGUGGGGAGCAAACAGG
rnacentral:rRNA from 1 species